rnacentral:rRNA from 1 species
UUGCCUACGGGACGCAGCAGUGGGGAAUAUUGCACAAUGGGGGAAACCCUGAUGCAGCGACGCCGCGUGAGUGAAGAAGUAUUUCGGUAUGUAAAGCUCUAUCAGCAGGGAAGAUAAUGACGGUACCUGACUAAGAAGCCCCGGCUAACUACGUGCCAGCAGCCGCGGUAAUACGUAGGGGGCAAGCGUUAUCCGGAUUUACUGGGUGUAAAGGGAGCGUAGACGGCUGUGCAAGUCUGAAGUGAAAGCCCGUGGCUCAACCGCGGAACUGCUUUGGAAACUGUAUAGCUUGA